AGCGAACGCUGGCGGCAGGCCUAACACAUGCAAGUCGAACGAACCUUCCGGGGUUAGUGGCGGACGGGUGAGUAACACGUGGGAACGUGCCUUUAGGUUCGGUAUAACUCAGGGAAACUUGUGCUAAUAACGAAUGUGCCCUUCGGGGGAAAGAUUAAUCGCCUUUAGAGCGGCCCGCGUCUGAUUAGCUAGUUGGUUGAGGUAAUGGCUCACCACGGCGACGAUCAGUAGCUGGUCCGAGAGGAUGAUAAGCCACAUUGGGACUGAGACACGGCCCAAACUCGUACGGGAAGCUGCAGUGGGGUAUCUUGCGCAAGGGGCGAAAGCCUGACGCAGCCGUGCCGCGUGAAUGAUGAAGGUCGUAGGAUUGUAAAAUUCUUUCACCGGGGACGAUAAUGACGGUACCCGGAGAAGAAGCCCCGGCUAACUUCGUG
rnacentral:rRNA from 1 species